CCAGUUUGUUAAAUCCUGUUUCUAUAACUAUAUAAAUUCAUAUCAAACUUCCAUUAAAUCACUUAGCAGUAUCAUCAUUACUAGAACAAGAUGAAAUUAUUGGCUGGUGUUUUGAUUUUCGGACUACUUUUUGUCCAUACAGAGGCAUGGUUGACCCCAAGCAUCCGAAUCCCAGCCGUCCGAAUCCCAAGCAUCCCACCAAUCCGAAGCAUCCCAAUGCCACGAAUACCAGAUAUCCGAAUCCCACGAAUUGGAUGGAAAAAACGGGAUGUGAUUCAAGACUCUCAGUAAGACGAUAGUGAUAAAGAUAUGACCUGGUUAUGUCCCUGGAAUAACGACAUUGAUAGUGAUAAGGAUUUGACCUAAGACCUUGGAAUAAUGACCUGGCUAUAUCCCCGGAAUAACGACAUUGAAAUUAUAAUUUAUAUGAUAAAGCUGUAUUGAUCAUCGUAACUGCAUAACAAAUAAAUUAAAUAUUUUAUUUGA